rnacentral:rRNA from 1 species
UACGUAGGCAGCGAGCGUUGUUCGGAAUUACUGGGCGUAAAGAGUGUGUAGGCGGUGCUCUAAGUUCGGUGUGAAAUCUCCCGGCUUAACUGGGAGGGUGCGCCGAAAACUGCGUGGCUUGAGUGCGGGAGAGGAGAGCGGAAUUCCUGGUGUAGCGGUGAAAUGCGUAGAUAUCGAGAGGAACACCUGCGGCGAAGGCGGGUAGCUGGGCCGACACUGACGCUGAGGCGCGAAAGCCAGGGGAGCGAACGGG